rnacentral:rRNA from 1 species
AUUGAACGCUGGCGGCAUGCCUUACACAUGCAAGUCGAACGGUAACAGGUCUUCGGAUGCUGACGAGUGGCGAACGGGUGAGUAAUACAUCGGAACGUGCCUAGUAGUGGGGGAUAACUACUCGAAAGAGCAGCUAAUACCGCAUACGAUCUAUGGAUGAAAGCGGGGGACCGUAAGGCCUCGCGCGAUUGGAGCGGCCGAUGUCAGAUUAGGUAGUUGGUGGGGUAAAGGCUCACCAAGCCAACGAUCUGUAGCUGGUCUGAGAGGACGACCAGCCACACUGGGACUGAGACACGGCCCAGACUGCUACGGGAGGCAGCAGUGGGGAAUUUUGGACAAUGGGGGCAACCCUGAUCCAGCAAUGCCGCGUGCAGGAAGAAGGCCUUCGGGUUGUAAACUGCUUUUGUACGGAACGAAACGGUCUGGGUUAAUACCCUGGGCUAAUGACGGUACCGUAAGAAUAAGCACCGGCUAACUACGUGCCAGCCGCCGCCGUAAAAC